rnacentral:rRNA from 1 species
GUGGGGAAUCUUGCGCAAUGGGCGAAAGCCUGACGCAGCCAUGCCGCGUGAAUGAUGAAGGUCUUAGGAUUGUAAAAUUCUUUCACCGGGGACGAUAAUGACGGUACCCGGAGAAGAAGCUCCGGCUAACUUCGUGCCAGCAGCCGCGGUAAUACGAAGGGGGCUAGCGUUGCUCGGAAUUACUGGGCGUAAAGGGCGCGUAGGCGGACAGCUUAGUCAGAGGUGAAAGCCCAGGGCUCAACCUUGGAAUUGCCUUUGAUACUGGCUGUCUUGAGUUUGGGAGAGGUGAGUGGAACUCCGAGUGUAGAGGUGAAAUUCGUAGAUAUUCGGAAGAACACCAGUGGCGAAGGCGACUCACCGGCCCAAUACUGACGCUGAGGCGCGAAAGCGUGGGGAGCAAACAGGAUUAGAAACCCGUGUAGUCC